AUACUUACCUGGACGGGGUCGAUGGGCGAUCAAGAAGGCCCAUGGCCUAGAUCAGUGGCCCACAUUGCACUUGGUGGGUGCGCUGGUCUACCAUCUCCCCAAGUGGGAGAGUGGAUGUCAUAAUUUGUGGCAGAGGGGGUACGCGUUCGCGCGGCCCCUG
rnacentral:snRNA from 1 species